rnacentral:rRNA from 1 species
UACGUAGGGACCAAGCGUUGUUCGGCUUUACUGGGCGUAAAGGGCGCGUAGGCGGCUAUUCAAGUCAUCUGUGAAAUCUCCGGGCUUAACUCGGAACGGUCAGGUGAUACUGCUUUGCUAGAGUGCGGAAGGGGCAAUCGGAAUUCUUGGUGUAGCGGUGAAAUGCGUAGAUAUCAAGAGGAACACCUGAGGUGAAGACGGGUUGCUGGGCCGACACUGACGCUGACAGCGCGAAAGCCAGGGGAGCAAACGGG